rnacentral:rRNA from 1 species
GGCGAACGGGUGAGUAACGCGUUGGUGACCUGCCUCGAAGUGUGGAAUAACUCCGGGAAACUGGAGCUAAUACCGCAUGUGGUCUGUGGAUUUAGAAACCACUUACUAAAGGUCUUCGGAUCGCUUCGAGAGGGGCCUGCGUCCCAUCAGCUAGUUGGUAGGGUAAUGGCCUACCAAGGCGACGACGGGUAGGGGACCUGAGAGGGUGAUCCCCCACAAUGGAACUGAAACACGGUCCAUACACCUACGGGUGGCAGCAGUAGGGAAUAUUGCACAAUGGGCGAAAGCCUGAUGCAGCAACGCCGCGUGUGCGAUGAAGGCCUUCGGGUUGUAAAGCACUUUUCUGAGGGAAAAGGAAGGACGGUACCUCAGGAAUAAGUCUCGGCUAACUACGUGCCAGCAGCCGCGGUAACACGUAGGAGGCAAGCGUUAUCCGGAUUUACUGGGCGUAAAGCGCGUGCAGGCGGUUUGGUAAGUUGGAUGUGAAAGCUCCUGGCUUAACUGGGAGAGGUCGUUCAAUACUGCCAAACUAGAGGACGGUAGAGGAAGGUAGAAUUCCUGGUGUAGUGGUGAAAUGCGUAGAUAUCAGGAGGAAUACCAGAGGCGAAGGCGGCCUUCUGGGCCGUUCCUGACGCUAAGACGCGAAAGCAUGGGUAGCAAACGGGAUUAGAAACCCCGGUAGUCCAUGCCGUAAACGAUGCAAACU